rnacentral:misc_RNA from 1 species
GAUGAAGAACGUAGCGAAAUGCGAUAAGUAAUGUGAAUUGCAGAAUUCAGUGAAUCAUCGAAUCUUUGAACGCACCUUGCGCUCUUUGGUAUUCCGAAGAGCAUGCCUGUUUGAGUGUCAUGAAAAUAUCAACCUUGACUUGGGUUUUGUGCUCUAGUCUCGGCUUGGAAUUGGGUGCUUGCCGCUUUUACGAGCGGCUCACCUUAAAUGUAUUAGCUGGAUCUGUCUUUGAGACUUGGUUUGACUUGGCGUAAUAAGUAUUUCGCUAAGGACAUUCUUCGGAGUGGCCUCGUUUCUAGGACGCUUGUCCGCUUUCCAAUACAAGUUCCACCUCGUGGACAUGACUUUUUAUUAUCUGGCCUCAAAUCAGGUAGGACUACCCGCUGAACUUAAGCAUAUCAUAAGCGGAGG